rnacentral:rRNA from 1 species
AGCAGGGGAUGCAGUGUAUGGAAUGUCUAUUAUCUUAUAUGACGGUAAUACGUUCAAGUCCAUCUUGAAUGGGGCUAUUUUACCCAUAGAGGGUGCCAGGCCCGUAGCAACUGUUACCAGUAUAAGAAGAUAUUUCCAAAGAGUCGUGUUGCUUGAUAGUGCAGCACUAAGUUGGUGGUAAACUCCAUCUAAGGCUAAAUAUAACCACGAGACCGAUAGCGAACAAGUACCGUGAGGGAAAGUUA